rnacentral:rRNA from 1 species
UACGAAGGGGGCUAGCGUUGUUCGGAUUUACUGGGCGUAAAGCGCACGUAGGCGGAUCGUUAAGUCAGGGGUGAAAUCCUGGAGCUCAACUCCAGAACUGCCUUUGAUACUGGCGAUCUUGAGUCCGGAAGAGGUGAGUGGAACUCCUAGUGUAGAGGUGGAAUUCGUAGAUAUUAGGAAGAACACCAGUGGCGAAGGCGGCUCACUGGACCGGUACUGACGCUGAGGCGCGAAAGCGUGGGGAGCAAACAGG